CCGCCCUCACAGGAGGCUUCUGAGCCUGUGUUGGGACCUGAUUAGAAUUAGGGUUUUACAGAAAAGCAGAUUGAUUUUGUUUGGUUAAUUAAUUUUUUGAGUAGUUAGUAUGAUAUUUUAUUUUUACCCAAAUGUUAAAUUGGCUAUCAUUAUCCACUCGCAUUGUAGCUGGCGGAAUGCACAUUUAAUUGUUGCGAACGCCAUUAUACCAUAGAAGAAGAUCACCACACAGUUUUUUUUUUAUCGUGUCCGUGUGGUGUUAUGUGGCUGGCUGUACUAAUUACAAACAAGUGCAAAAAUGUGUUACCUUUUUUACCGUUCUACCUACCAGAGAUUCUACAAGUAGUUGCGGUUAUCAAGAAUAACGUGACCAACGAUUAUCCGCGGGGGUUUUCAGGCUGAAUUGAUGGGUAAUGCAUUUCGACGACAGCUGAGAAGUGAUGUGAUACUAUCGAUAUACUUUCCUUCACAACAAAAUGGAAGAUUCUCAAUUAGAAUUAACCUAACGUUAGCUAGCCUAGUUGGAAUAGCUGGGUGGUAUAGAAUCUUCCACCAUGAUGCGCGCUAACUCAGCACAAGGUGAAGGCAAGUUAGGUCAAUUCACAGUAAGUAUGGUAUUAACAUGAAUUGGGUAGUGUUUGUGUUAUGGGUUUAGAGGUAGCUUCAGGACCACAGAGUACCUUCCUGACCAUAGUUUACCCCUCCUCUCUUUUUACCUUUUUCUUUUUGGAAAACUCUGGUUAUCUGGAGUCAUUCCACAGUGUCCUGCUGUUAAAAUACCCCAAUGCACGGGCAUUUUGGGAACACAAGCAUGAGGGAGUGGACACACCUUGCCGUUAUGGAGCACAACAAGAUUGUGGGACAGAAACCAGCAAGGGACACUGAAACUACAACAGAGAUGUGCAGUACCAGGAAAUAUUCUGCAAGAGGACCAAACAGUUGGUGGUUAAGAAGCCCUACACCACUUUCGGCAGAGUUUUAUCCAACUGGCCAUUCACCGCAGACAGGAUAAGCCCAUCGCCAUUGCACAAAGAGUCUCCACUUCCCCAGUGCACCAUGCCAAACACAAUUGCCAGUGUACCGAAGCCAGAUAAAGGACUAUUGCUGCAUUUACACAGGCAGCCCAAUUCUGAUAUUUUUUUCACUAAUGGGUCUUUUGAUCAAUCAGAUCUGAAAAAGAUCUGUUGUGAAACAAUAUUAGAAUUGGGCUGUCUGUGUAAACGCAGACAGUGUGGCUCAGCAUAAGAUCAUGUAGAACACACUGGAGGAUGGCUCAUAAUAAUGGCCAGGACGGCGCAAAUGGAAUGGUAUCAAACACAUUGAAACUAUGUGUUUGAUGUAUUUGAUAUCGUUCCACUCUAGCCAUUACCACGAGCCCGUCAUCCCCAAUUAAGGUGCCUCCAAUCCUGUUCCUGGAGAACUACCCUCCUGUAGGUUUAUGCUCCUACCCUAGUUGUAACUAACCUAGUUCAGUUUAUCAACCAGCUAAUUAUUAGAAUCAGGUGUGCUAGGUGAGGGUUGGAGUGAACCUACAGGAUGGUAGCUCUCCAGGAAUAGGGUUGGAGAGCCCUGAUUUAGAACCACCAUCAAAUAAAUAUAGAUAUUUUCUAUUAGUCUUUUAAAUUUGUCUGCCCUUACGAAUUCACAGAAGACAUAUAUAUUAAAACUGUACAGGGCUCUGUAGCAUCAAACAGAUGCUAGACAUUCAGAUAUCCUCUGUAGACUCUCUACAGAUGGGACUUAUUCACCAUAGUAACCACCUUAACCAAGCCUCAGAGCGUCAGGGACUGACUGGGCCAACCCAACAGCAGGUCCCUCACAAUGAGGGGUGGGCUUCAGCUUAGCACACAAUUCCAAAACCACAUGAGUGGGCUUGGGCUAUAUGGAGAUUAGCAUAAGUGCUAUGUACUGGUUGUGCAUCCCACCUAAACUUAUCUGUAAUUACUGUAUUGGGCUGUAGUUCUGCUCUUGUUUUUAGUGUAUUUUUUAAAAAUACUGCAUUUUUGGUGUCCUGUUGUGCAUAUAAAAUAUGCCAUAAAGCAAUGAUGCGCAAAUAUUUGGAACUCAUUGUACAAGAUGAGAUGUUAUAUUUUACGUAAUUUAUUUAAAUAUAUAUAUAUAUAUAUAUAUAUAUAUGCAUAAUAAUAUGUGCAGUAGAGUGGGAAAGCAUGGAUGAGAAUAAAGACUCAGAAGUUGUGGCACCCCUUUGGGUGGGUCAUAGUGCAAAAACAUUUUGGGGACCAUGGCCACAAGCAACACAUACUCCCUCUGUUGGACUCCUGUGAUAAAGCACUUGCAUCACUCAGUUACUGUUGCUGAAAGAACAUUGUUUGAACAUCAUUGCAUUGUUCGUAAUAACGUUGAAAACGACUAAUUCUCUCUCAGUUGUAAAGUACCUGUAGAUUAACUAUAGACAGACCGAAUCAACAAAGUGGUAAUGAAUAGUAUAGUGAUCUGGAUGCACCUUUUUUAAAUAAACAGAUUUGGUGUAACAUGACAAGGGAAUGGAAUGGAGUACAACUUGUAUGGAGUCAUUUGAUGGCACAAAAAAAACGAAUGAUUUUUUAAAAAUGUCCAGAACACAUGGUCUGUUUUUCUGCCACCAUCAGAGAGCGCUAUUUCCACUUUAACCUCAACUAGCCUGGACCGCCACUCUUCGCAAUUUGAUGUGUUUAUUUUGUUAGUUGUGAGAACGACGCUUCAAUGGCACUUUUGUUUUGAAGAGAGAAGUCAAGCGAAAGGUUGAUGCAGCGUUUAGCUAGUUACCUACGGAGGUUGACUAGCUAGGUGGCUUGCUUAGUUGCUGCCUCAAGCUGAAGUAUACUGAACAAAACUAAAAACGCAACAUGCAACAAUUUCAAAGAAUUUACUGAGUUACAGAUCAUAUAAGGAAAGCAGUCAAUUUAAAUCAAUAAAUUGGGCCUUAAUCUAUGGAUUUCACAUGACUCGGCAGGGGUGCAGCCAUGAAUGGUCCUUGGAGGGCACACAUCUAGUAAAAAUGUUGGAUUACAUAAUGAAUAGUGCUGAACAAUUUGUGCUUUUUGAAGUCGUUUAUGUUCAAUUAUUAAAAUAAUCACUGUUUGCAAUUUCAAUAAUUUUGUAGACAGUAAAUGCACUAUGCAUUUUGUGGGUUGAAUGCUAUAACACAAAAUAAAAGAAAAGUAGUGUCUGCCCA